GAAAUGCGAUAAGUAAUGUGAAUUGCAGAAUUCAGUGAAUCAUCGAAUCUUUGAACGCACCUUGCGCUCCUUGGUAUUCCGAGGAGCAUGCCUGUUUGAUUGUCAUGGAAUUCUCAACUCUAUUUGCUUUUGUGAAUAGAGCUUGGAUUUGGAGGUUUAUUGCUGGUACUUGUGAUCGGCUCCUCUUGAAUGCAUUAGCUCGAACCUUUGCGGAUCAGCUAUCGGUGUGAUAAUUGUCUACGCCGUUGCAGUGAAGCAUAUCAAUGGGCUCGGCUUCCAAUCGUCCUUUACUGGACAAUGACUUUGACCUUUGACCUCAAAUCAGGUAGGAUUACCCGCUGAACUUAAGC
rnacentral:misc_RNA from 1 species